rnacentral:rRNA from 1 species
UACGUAGGGUGCAAGCGUUAUCCGGAAUUAUUGGGCGUAAAGAGCUCGUAGGCGGUUUGUCGCGUCUGCUGUGAAAACUGGAGGCUCAACCUCCAGCCUGCAGUGGGUACGGGCAGACUAGAGUGUGGUAGGGAGACUGGAAUUCCUGGUGUAGCGGUGGAAUGCGCAGAUAUCAGGAGGAACACCGAUGGCGAAGGCAGAUCUCUGGGCCGUAACUGACGCUGGAGGAAGCGAAAGCGUGGGAGCAAACAGG